UACGAAGGGGGCUAGCGUUGCUCGGAAUCACUGGGCGUAAAGGGUGCGUAGGCGGGUCUUUAAGUCAGGGGUGAAAUCCUGGAGCUCAACUCCAGAACUGCCUUUGAUACUGAAGAUCUUGAGUCCGGGAGAGGUGAGUGGAACUGCGAGUGUAGAGGUGAAAUUCGUAGAUAUUCGCAAGAACACCAGUGGCGAAGGCGGCUCACUGGCCCG
rnacentral:rRNA from 1 species